UACGUAGGUGGCAAGCGUUGUCCGGAAUUAUUGGGCGUAAAGCGCGCGCAGGCGGUCCUUUAAGUCUGAUGUGAAAGCCCACGGCUCAACCCGUGGAGGGUCAUUGGAAACUGGGGGACUUGAGUACAGAAGAGAAGAGUGGAAUUCCACGUGUAGCGGUGAAAUGCGUAGAGAUGUGGAGGAACACCAGUGGCGAAGGCGACUCUUUGGUCU
rnacentral:rRNA from 1 species